AUAUAUAUUCAUAUGAUGAUUGUGGUUGAUCAGCACCAAAGGGAAUCAUUGCAUACGCACUGAGGUUCAUUUAUGUGGUUUCAACUAUAUCGUUUUUUUCUUUCAGAUUUUUGUUUUUUGUUGUUGAUAAACUUUCACACCUUAUGAUUUUGACUUUGGUGUAGGACACUUUCUGGGAGUUUAGAGAAAGAGAUAGGAAGGGGUAGAGGAACA
rnacentral:lncRNA from 1 species